AACUCUGAGCAGUUGAUCACUCGACUCGUGCGUCAAUGAAGAACGCAGCUAUCCAUGAGAACUAAUGUGAAUUGCAGGACACAUUGAUCUUCAACACUUCGAACGCACUUUGUGGCCCCGGGUUACUCCUGGGGCUACGCCUAUCUGAGGGUCG